rnacentral:rRNA from 1 species
UCGAGAAUCUUCGUCAAUGCACGCAAGUGUGAACGAGCGACGCCGCGUGAGCGAUGAAGCCCUUCGGGGUGUAAAGCUCUUUUAUUAGGGAAAAACUUUGAUUGUACCUAUUGAAUAAGAGGUUGCUAACUCUGUGCCAGCAGCAGCGGUAAUACAGAGACCUCAAGCGUUAUCCGGAUUUAUUGGGCGUAAAGAGUCUGUAGGUUGAAUAAAUAGUCAGAUGUUAAAUUCUAGGGCUCAACCUUAGAACUGCAUUUGAAACGUUUAUUCUAGAGGACAGUAGAGGCAAGUAGAACUUAUAAAGUAGCAGUAAAAUGCGUUGAUAUUAUAGGGAAUACCAAAGGCGAAGGCAUCUUGCUGGACUGUUCCUGACACUGAGAGACGAAAGCGUGGGUAGCGA